rnacentral:tRNA from 10 species
GAAAAUAGCUCAGUUGGUAGAGCACAACCUUGCCAAGGUUGGGGUCGCGGGUUCGAGUCCCGUUUUUC